CCGUCCGGCGUCCUAGGCGGGGCGCCGCGGGACCUCCCUCCUGUCUGUGGCGGUGGGGUCCCGUGGCCGUGUUUUCCUGGUGGCCCGGCC
rfam:Gorilla gorilla gorilla genomic chromosome, chr16, whole genome shotgun sequence